AAUCAUUUUUUUCUGGUAGGAAACGUCGUCCGUAUUUUUUUAAAAUAAUGAAAUCGUGAAAUUGUACGUUAUCCUACGUUUAUUUCCUACUUAAGUGCUUUAAUUUAACAAAUGGCGUCCAAAAUCAACAAAUGACUCCUCUAAAGUACCAUCUAGAGACAACUUGAGCUCUCAGAAAAGUUGCUACACGUAAAUAUCGGAUCAAGUUUAUUAGGAAAAAACGUGUCCGCAGACUAGAACAAAGAACAUAGAAAUAAACAACGUUGUAAAACCAAUAGCUCCCC